AGUGAACGCUGGCGGUAGGCCUAACACAUGCAAGUCGAACGGCAGCACAGUAAGAGCUUGCUCUUACGGGUGGCGAGUGGCGGACGGGUGAGGGAUACAUCGGAAUCUACUUUUUCGUGGGGGAUAACGUAGGGAAACUUACGCUAAUACCGCAUACGACCUACGGGUGAAAGCAGGGGAUCUUCGGACCUUGCGCGAUUGAAUGAGCCGAUGUCGGAUUAGCUAGUUGGCGGGGUAAAGGCCCACCAAGGCGACGAUCCGUAGCUGGUCUGAGAGGAUGAUCAGCCACACUGGAACUGAGACACGGUCCAGACUCCUACGGGAGGCAGCAGUGGGGAAUAUUGGACAAUGGGCGCAAGCCUGAUCCAGCCAUACCGCGUGGGUGAAGAAGGUCUUCGGGUUGUAAAGCCCUUUUGUUGGGAAAGAAAAGCAGCAGGUUAAUACCCCGCUGUUCUGACGGUACCCAAAGAAUAAGCACCGGCUAACUUCGUG
rnacentral:rRNA from 1 species